GACGAACCGUGCGAACGUUGUUCGGAUUCACUGGGCUUAAAGGGCGCGUAGGCGGCUUGCCAAGUCAGGGGUGAAAUCUUUCGGCUCAACCGGAAAACAGCCCCUGAUACUGGUGAGCUGGAGGGAGGUAGGGGCGGAUGGAACUUCCGGUGGAGCGGUGAAAUGCGUAGAUAUCGGAAGGAACGCCGGUGGCGAAAGCCAUCCGCCGGACCUCUUCUGACGCUGAAGCCCCAAAACCAGGGGAGCAAACGGG
rnacentral:rRNA from 1 species